GCUGAUGAGUCCCAAAUAGGACGAAGCGCGUGUCC
rnacentral:hammerhead_ribozyme from 1 species